rnacentral:rRNA from 1 species
UAACACGUGAGCAAUCUGCCCUUCACACGGGGAUAACCACCGGAAACGGUGGCUAAUACCCGAUACGACCACUUCAGGCAUCUGAUGGUGGUGGAAAGUUCCGGCGGUGGAGGAUGAGCUCGCGGCCUAUCAGCUUGUUGGUGGGGUAAUGGCCUACCAAGGCAACGACGGGUAGCCGGCCUGAGAGGGUGACCGGCCACACUGGGACUGAGACACGGCCCAGACUCCUACGGGAGGCAGCAGUGGGGAAUAUUGGACAAUGGGCGAAAGCCUGAUCCAGCAACGCCGCGUGAGGGAUGACGGCCUUCGGGUUGUAAACCUCUUUCAGCAGGGACGAAGCGCAAGUGACGGUACCUGCAGAAGAAGCACCGGCCAACUACGUGCCAGCAGCCGCGGUAAUACGUAGGGUGCGAGCGUUGUCCGGAAUUAUUGGGCGUAAAGGGCUCGUAGGCGGUUUGUCGCGUCGGGAGUGAAAACUCAGGGCUUAACCCUGAGCCUGCUUCCGAUACGGGCAGACUAGAGGUAUGCAGGGGAGAACGGAAUUCCUGGUGUAGCGGUGAAAUGCGCAGAUAUCAGGAGGAACACCGGUGGCGAAGGCGGUUCUCUGGGCAUUACCUGACGCUGAGGAGCGAAAGUGUGGGGAGCGAACAGGAUUAGAUACCCUGGUAGUCCACACCGUAAACGUUGGGCGCUAGGUGUGGGACUCAUUCCACGAUUUCCGUGCCGCAGCUAACGCAUUAA